rnacentral:rRNA from 1 species
AGAGUUUGAUCCUGGCUCAGGACGAACGCUGGCGGCGUGCUUAACACAUGCAAGUCGAACGGAAAGGCCCUUCGGGGUACUCGAGUGGCGAACGGGUGAGUAACACGUGGAUGAUCUGCCCUGCACUUUGGGAUAAGCCUGGGAAACUGGGUCUAAUACCGAAUAUGACCAUGCACUUCCUGGUGUGUGGUGGAAAGCUUUUGCGGUGUGGGAUGGGCCCGCGGCCUAUCAGCUUGUUGGUGGGGUAAUGGCCUACCAAGGCGACGACGGGUAGCCGGCCUGAGAGGGUGACCGGCCACACUGGGACUGAGAUACGGCCCAGACUCCUACGGGAGGCAGCAGUGGGGAAUAUUGCACAAUGGGCGCAAGCCUGAUGCAGCGACGCCGCGUGAGGGAUGACGGCCUUCGGGUUGUAAACCUCUUUCAGCACAGACGAAGCGCAAGUGACGGUAUGUGCAGAAGAAGGACCGGCCAGCUACGUGCCAGCAGCCGCGGUAAUACGUAGGGUCCGAGCGUUGUCCGGAAUUACUGGGCGUAAAGAGCUCGUAGGUGGUUUGUCGCGUUGUUCGUGAAAACUCACAGCUUAACUGUGGGCGUGCGGGCGAUACGGGCAGACUUGAGUACUGCAGGGGAGACUGGAAUUCCUGGUGUAGCGGUGGAAUGCGCAGAUAUCAGGAGGAACACCGGUGGCGAAGGCGGGUCUCUGGGCAGUAACUGACGCUGAGGAGCGAAAGCGUGGGGAGCGAACAGGAUUAGAUACCCUGGUAGUCC